rnacentral:misc_RNA from 1 species
GGGGUUUUAAUUUUCCCC